rnacentral:rRNA from 1 species
GACGAACGCUGGCGGCGUGCUUAACACAUGCAAGUCGAACGGAAAGGCCCUGCUUUUGUGGGGUGCUCGAGUGGCGAACGGGUGAGUAACACGUGAGUAACCUGCCCCUGACUUUGGGAUAACUUCAGGAAACUGGGGCUAAUACCGGAUAGGAGCUCCUGCUGCAUGCUGGGGGUUGGAAAGUUUCGGCGGUUGGGGAUGGACUCGCGGCUUAUCAGCUUGUUGGUGGGGUAGUGGCUUACCAAGGCUUUGACGGGUAGCCGGCCUGAGAGGGUGACCGGCCACAUUGGGACUGGGAUACGGCCCGAACUCCUACGGGAGGCAGCAGUGGGGAAUUUUGCACAAUGGGCGGAAGCCUGAUGCAGCAACGCGGCGUGCGGGAUGACGGCCUUCGGGUUGUAAACCGCUUUCGCCUGUGACGAAGCGUGAGUGACGGUAAUGGGUAAAGAAGCACCGGCUGACUACGUG